rnacentral:rRNA from 2 species
UUGAACGCUGGCGGCAUGCCUUACACAUGCAAGUCGAACGGCAGCAUGAUCUAGCUUGCUAGAUUGAUGGCGAGUGGCGAACGGGUGAGUAAUACAUCGGAACGUGCCCUGUAGUGGGGGAUAACUAGUCGAAAGAUUAGCUAAUACCGCAUACGACCUGAGGGUGAAAGUGGGGGACCGCAAGGCCUCAUGCUAUAGGAGCGGCCGAUGUCUGAUUAGCUAGUUGGUGAGGUAAAGGCUCACCAAGGCGACGAUCAGUAGCUGGUCUGAGAGGACGAUCAGCCACACUGGGACUGAGACACGGCCCAGACUCCUACGGGAGGCAGCAGUGGGGAAUUUUGGACAAUGGGCGAAAGCCUGAUCCAGCAAUGCCGCGUGUGUGAAGAAGGCCUUCGGGUUGUAAAGCACUUUUGUCCGGAAAGAAAUGGCUCUGGUUAAUACCUGGGGUCGAUGACGGUACCGGAAGAAUAAGGACCGGCUAACUACGU